rnacentral:rRNA from 1 species
UGAAGAAUGAGCCUGCGAGUUAGCGGUGUGUAGCGAGGUUAACCCGUGUGGGGAAGCCGUAGCGAAAGCGAGUCCGAACAGGGCGAUUUGAGUUGCACGCUCUAGACCCGAAGCGGAGUGAUCUAGCCAUGGGCAGGUUGAAGCGGCUGUAAGAGGUCGUGGAGGACCGAACCCACCAGGGUUGAAAACCUGGGGGAUGACCUGUGGUUAGGGGUGAAAGGCCAAUCAAACUCCGUGAUAGCUGGUUCUCCCCGAAAUGCAUUUAGGUGCAGCGUCGUGUGUUUCUUGCCGGAGGUAGAGCACUGGAUAGGCGAUGGGCCCUACCGGGUUACUGACCUUAGCCAAACUCCGAAUGCCGGUAAGUGAGAGCGCGGCAGUGAGACUGUGGGGGAUAAGCUCCAUGGUCGAGAGGGAAACAGCCCAGAGCAUCGACUAAGGCCCCUAAGCGUACGCUAAGUGGGAAAGGAUGUGGAGUCGCAGAGACAACCAGGAGGUUGGCUUAGAAGCAGCCACCCUUGAAAGAGUGCGUAAUAGCUCACUGGUCUAGUGAUUCCGCGCCGACAAUGUAGCGGGGCUCAAGCGUACCGCCGAAGUCGUGUCAUUGCAGCAAUACUCCCAACGGAGGCUGUGAUGGGUAGGGGAGCGUCGUGUGCCGGGUGAAGCAGCCGUGGAAGCGAGUUGUGGACGGUUCACGAGUGAGAAUGCAGGCAUGAGUAGCGAUUCACACGUGAGAAACGUGUGCGCCGAUUGACUAAGGGUUCCUGGGUCAAGCUGAUCUGCCCAGGGUAAGUCGGGACCUAAGGCGAGGCCGACAGGCGUAGUCGAUGGA